rnacentral:rRNA from 1 species
UACGUAGGGUGCGAGCGUUAAUCGGAAUUACUGGGCGUAAAGGGUGCGCAGGCGGCUCCGCAUGUCGGGCGUGAAAUCCCGGCUUAACCUGGAAUGCGUCCGAAACUAUGGAGCUGGAGUGUGGCAGAGGGAGGUGGAAUUCCACGUGUAGCGGUGAAAUGCGUAGAGAUGAUGGAGGAACACCGGUGGCGAAGGCGGCAUCCUGGACCGGUAUUGACGCUGAGGCGCGAAAGCCAGGGGAGCAAACGGG